ACUAACCACCGGUCCUGGGAUUCAUCAUUGUGCACACCUGGCACUCAUCAUUAAGUGAACCUGUGUUUCAUUCUGAUUUACACCCGUCAUUACAGAAUACCAACUCAAAAUAUGGGAGCAGCAGGACAACCGGACAUCUCCCAGACGAUCAAUGAACAAGGUGAUCUUCUUCGUCAACACCGUAAUCAGCUGGCUCAACUGGGGACGGCCAUGGAAGAGGUCCUCCGCAGUCUACAACGUCUCAACAGCAGAGGAUAUUCUAGAACCAGUCUACCCAAUGAGUCAGCACACCAGCCCAAUCAGCAACCCGCUCAGGUCAGCGAUGCCCGUCUAUCCCUCCCUGAGAAAUAUGAUGGGACACCAUCCAAAUACAUUGGCUUCCUCUUUCAGUGCUCCCUCUAAUUCACACAUCAAAUUGGAGCUCCCACCACUGAGGUCUAAGGUUGCCACGGUUAUUUUUCUGCUGACUGGGCGGGCAGUAGAAUGGGCUACGGCCAUCUGGGAGAGAGGAGAGGAGGAGCUUGAGUCUUAUGAGGGGUUCAUGGCUCUGUUUAAAUUUAUUGUCGAUCAUCCCGCGGAGGGCAGAGAGGCAGGUAAGGGACUGCUUCAGCUCCAGUAGGUAAAUCAGAUGGCUGCUGAUUAUACACUUACCUUCCGGACAAUAGCAGCUUCCAGCGGAUGGAAUGAGCCGGCGCUCAGCGCGUUAUUUAGAAGAGGUCUGCCCGAGGAGGUCCAGACGGAACUGGCCUGGUGAGAUGACAACCUCACCUUGGACGGACUCAUUGCGAUGGCCAACCAUCUGGAUAACCUCCUACGGGAGCGUCGGCAUCUACAUCACUUCUCUCUCCUUCGGCAAGUGUUCGGGUUCAGAGCCUGAACCCAUGGAGGUAGGGGUCACACGCAUUCCCGUGGCGGGACGACGCAGAUGGAUGCAGCUGGGGCUCUGUCUGUACUGUGGCCAGGGAGGGCGCCAGCGGUGUCCGUUACUUCAGAAUCCAGAAUCCACUGGAGCAGAGGGACGGUCACGUGACGUCAUGUUACAUCCCCUGGACCAGGAGUGAGAAUUCCAUCUACUGCUCUUCCUGUUAGACUCUUUUUAGUACCAAUCACUGGCUGACUUUCCCUCAUGCCCUGUGUCUACAGCUUAGUGGAUUCCGGUGCCGCGGGGAACUUUAUGGAUCAGACCCUUGCCUCCUCUCAAUAUUACUACCUACCCGCUCUCCUCUCCUUUUCCGGUUCAAGGUCUUGACUGUCAGCCUCUAGGAUCCGGAACCAUCCACACAUCAUCCAACCACUCACCCUCACCAUGAAGCCCAAUCACCAGGAGAACAUCCCCUUCUUCAUCACCAGUGCACCAGUUCACAAGAUCAUCCUCGGCCUAUCUUGGCUUCAGCUCCAUAACCCUACCAUCUCAUGGUCGAGGAUGUGAAUCACCGACUGGUCCCCUGAAUGCCGGAAGACCUGCUUUCCUGGCCCCUGUGGUUUCACGUCAGUUGAGAGGAAUAUUAGGAUUUAAGGGAGGUAUUCUCCAAGACACGCGCUACCUGUCUCCCUCAUCGCCCCUGGGACUGUGCCAUUGACCUGUUUUCUCUGUACAGAUGCAUCUACCCUCUUUCAGUGGCUGAGACCCAGGCCAUGGAGGACUUCAUUCAAGACUACAUUUCAUCCCCAGGUCCAUGUCCCCUGUGUCAGCUGGUUUAUUCUUUGUGGCCAAGAAGGAAGGAGGAUUACGUGUUUGUAUCAAUUACCGUGGACUCAAUGACAUCACCACAAAGUAUCGGGACCCCCCGGGAGCUGUUGGAGGUGAAGUUAGUGGAGACACUGGCUGCGGGUGCCAAGGAACCAUUCGUCAUCCUCACCGACAAUAUGAACAUUGAGUACAUCAAAUCAAAUUUAUUUAUAUAGCCCUUCGUACAUCAGCUGAUAUCUCAAAGUGCUGUACAGAAACCCAGCCUAAAACAGCAAGCAAUGCAGGUGUAGAAGCACGGAUAUGGACAGCGAGGAGACUGAAUCCGCUCCAAGUCAGGUUGGCCCUCUUCCUCACCAGGUUCGACUUCACACUGACCUACUGCCCAGGUUUUAAGAACAUGCCCUGUCCCGUAUCUACAAUUCGGGAGAGGCUCCUGUCCAGAGGGCUCCCAUAAUCCCACCCUCCAGAGUCGUGGGUAGAGCUGUUUGGGACGUAGAUGUGGACAUCCGCCAAGCUCUAGAGAGGGAGCCCACACCUCUGAAUUGUCCUCCUGCACGCAUUUACAUUCCCAAAGGGAUAAGGGAUCGGCUGCUGACCUUGCCACACAGAUCUGUAGUCGCUGGACAUCCAGAUCUUUCUCGCACCAUCCAUUCCAUCACUGAGAAAUAUUGGUGGCCCACCUUGGUGCAGGAUGUUACGCGAUAUGUCAACUCCUGUUCAGUGUAUGCUCAAACCAAGUCCCCCUGGAAUGCUCCAGCAGGGAAGCUCCUGCCGCUUCCCGUGCCUCAGCGACCUUGGUUCCAUCUAUCCAUUGACUUUGUCCAUUGACCCCUUCUGAUGGUUUCACCACCAUUCUGGUGGUAGUGGAUAGAUUCUCCAAGUCAUGUAAUUUAAUCCCUCUUCCUGGUCUUCCCACUGCUCUCCAGGUCACCGAGGUACACUUCCAGCAGGUCUUCCGGCAUUAUGGCCUUCCGGAGGACAUCGUCUCGAACCAUGGCCCCCAAUUCACAUCCCGAGUGUGGAGGGCCUUCUUGGAGAAGCUCGGGGUCAUGGUUAGCCUCACAUCUGGGUAUCGGCCUCAGUCUAAUGGUUAGGUGUAGAGGAUUAAUCAGGAGCUGGGGAAGUUCCUGAGGAGUGACGAACGACAGGGUGAGUGGGCACAUUUCCUUCCUUGGGCAGAGUACGCCCAGAACUCUCUACGUCACUCCUCCACUGGGUUGACCCACUUCCAGUGUGUGUUGGGUUUCCAGAUGGCCCUCGCCCCAUGGCCCGGGCCAGACCGUGGGUCCUGCAUUAAAUGAGUGGUUCCAGCGUGCAGAGGAGGUGUGGAACAAUGCGCACAUGAGACUCCAACGCACUGUCCACCGUCAUUGCAGUGAGACCCCUGUGUUCCAUCCUGGGGAUCGUGUCUGGCUCUCUACAAGGAAUCUCUAACUCCGCAUGCCCUGCAAGAAACGGCGCCCCCGGUUUGUGGGGCCAUCCAAAGGCCGGUGGUUCCUGGUCCCCUAGCUGAUGCUGUCCCCCACAACACACCACCACCACCCCCUGGACAUCGAAGGGAGCCCGGCGUACGCUGUCAGAUCCAUACUGGACUCCCGACGUUGUAGGGGUUGGCUCCAGUAUCUGAUAGACUGGGAGGGGCUCAGAGGCCCAUAGGAGCGGUGUUUGGUUCCGGUGGAGAACAUUCUGGACCACAACAUCAUCCGGGAUUUCCAACUUCGCCGUCCGGACCGACCUGCUCCUUGUCCUCAGGGUCAUCCUCCUGGUCGGCGUCCUCCUGCCAGAGGGAGGGGGGGGGUACUGUCACGUCUGCUCCUGCUCCUCCCCUCCGGCGUACAACGUCGCCAGAGUACUAAUCACCAGUCCUGGGAUUCAUCAUUACGCACACCUGUGUUUCAUUAUGAUUCACACCUGGACUCCAUUACCUUCAUAAUUUCCUCCCCUUUAUAUGUCACUCUCCCAGGUUCACUCACCAGUUGGUAUUCUUCUUGUUGAUGUCCUCUGGCGUUCUGCCUUAUGUUAGUGUCGUGUUCUUCGUUUUGUUGUUUUAUUAAAACAUUUCACCUGCA